AACGAACGCUGGCGGCGCGCCUAAUACAUGCAAGUCGAGCGAGAAGACGUAGCAAUACGUUUGUAAAGCGGCGAACGGGUGAGGAAUACAUGGGUAACCUACCCUCGAGUGGGAAUAACUAGCCGAAAGGUUAGCUAAUACCGCGUACGCUCCUUGGACUUCGGUUCAGGGAGGAAAGCGAUACCGUGGGUAUCGCGCUCUUGGAUGGGCUCAUGUCCUAUCAGCUUGUUGGUGAGGUAACGGCUCACCAAGGCUUCGACGGGUAGCUGGUCUGAGAGGACGAUCAGCCACACUGGCACUGCGACACGGGCCAGACUCCUACGGAGGCAGCAGUAAGGAAUAUUGCGCAAUGGGCGAAAGCCUGACGCAGCGACGCCGCGUGGGGGAUGAAGGUC
rnacentral:rRNA from 1 species